rnacentral:rRNA from 1 species
GACGAACGCUGGCGGCGUGCUUAACACAUGCAAGUCGAACGGAAAGGCCCUGCUUUUGUGGGGUGCUCGAGUGGCGAACGGGUGAGUAACACGUGAGUAACCUGCCCUUGACUUUGGGAUAACUUCAGGAAACUGGGGCUAAUACCGGAUAGGAGCUCCUGCUGCAUGGUGGGGGUUGGAAAGUUUCGGCGGUUGGGGAUGGACUCGCGGCUUAUGAGCUUGUUGGUGGGGUAGUGGCUUACCAAGGCUUUGACGGGUAGCCGGUCUGAGAGGGUGACCGGCCACAUUGGGACUGAGAUACGGCCCAGACUCCUACGGGAGGCAGCAGUGGGGAAUAUUGCACAAUGGGCGGAAGCCUGAUGCAGCGACGCCGCGUGCGGGAUGACGGCCUUCGGGUUGUAAACCGCUUUCGCCUGUGACGAAGCGUGAGUGACGGUAAUGGGUAAAGAAGCACCGGCUAACUACGUG